AGUUCACAUCGACGGAGUGGUUUGGCACCUCGAUGUCGGCUCAUCGCAUCCUGGGGCUGAAGUAGGUCCCAAGGGUUGGGCUGUUCGCCCAUUAAAGCGGUACGCGAGCUGGGUUCAGAACGUCGUGAGACAGUUCGGUCCCUAUCCGGCGUGGGCGUAGGAUAUUUGAGAGGAGCUGUCCUUAGUACGAGAGGACCGGGAUGGACUGGCCGCUGGUGUAUCUGUUGGCUUACCAAGGCCAUGGCAGAGUAGCCAAGCCGGGACGGGAUAAACGCUGAAGGCAUCUAAGCGUGAAGCCCCCCUCAAGAUGAGAUAUCCCUGCGCAAGCAGUAAGACCCCUUGAAGACGACGAGGUAGAUAGUACGGAGGUGGAAGUGCAGCAAUGUAUGGAGCUGACCGUAACUAAUCGGUCGAGGGCAUGACCA
rnacentral:rRNA from 1 species